rnacentral:rRNA from 1 species
UACAGAGGGUGCAAGCGUUAAUCGGAAUUACUGGGCGUAAAGGGUGCGUAGGUGGUUAUAUAAGUUAGGUGUGAAAGUCCUGGGCUUAACCUGGGGAUUGCGCCUGAUACUGUGUAGCUAGAGUCCUGUAGAGGAAAGUGGAAUUUCCGGUGUAGCGGUGAAAUGCGUAGAUAUCGGAAGGAACAUCGGUGGCGAAGGCGACUUUCUGGACAGAGACUGACACUGAGGCACGAAAGCAUGGGGAGCAAACAGGAUUAGAUACCCUGGUAGUCCAUGCUGUAAACGAUGAAGACUGGCUGUUGGGCACCUACGGGUGCUUAGUAGCGAAGCUAACGCGUUAAGUCUUCCGCCUGGGGAGUACGGCCGCAAGGUUAAA